CUUUGCGGCGACACCAUGAUACGCGUCCUCCUUGAAGUUAGACUACCUACUUCUGGUGCAACAAACUCCCAUGGUGUGACGGGCGGUGUGUACAAGGCCCGGGAACGUAUUCACCGCGGCAUUCUGAUCCGCGAUUACUAGCGAUUCCGACUUCACGCAGUCGAGUUGCAAACUGCGAUCCGGACUACGAUCGGCUUUUUGAGAUUAGCAUCACAUCGCUGUGUAGCAACCCUUUGUACCGACCAUUGUAGCACGUGUGUAGCCCUGGCCGUAAGGGCCAUGAUGACUUGACGUCGUCCCCGCCUUCCUCCAGUUUGUCACUGGCAGUAUCCUUAAAGUUCCCAUCCGAAAUGCUGGCAAGUAAGGAAAAGGGUUGCGCUCGUUGCGGGACUUAACCCAACAUCUCACGACACGAGCUGACGACAGCCAUGCAGCACCUGUAUGUAGAUUCCCGAAGGCACCAAUCCAUCUCUGGAAAGUUUCUACUAUGUCAAGGCCAGGUAAGGUUCUUCGCGUUGCAUCGAAUUAAACCACAUGCUCCACCGCUUGUGCGGGCCCCCGUCAAUUCAUUUGAGUUUUAGUCUG
rnacentral:rRNA from 1 species